rnacentral:rRNA from 1 species
CAGUCGCCGCGGGAAUACGUAGGGGGCAAGCGUUAUCCGGAAUUACUGGGUGUAAAGGGAGCGUAGACGGUUAAACAAGUCUGAAGUGAAAUGCCGGGGCUCAACCCCGGAGCUGCUUUGGGAACUGUAGAACUGGAGUGUCGGAGGGGUAAGCGGAAUUCCCAGUGUAGCGGUGAAAUGCGUAGAUAUUGGGAGGAACACCGGCGGCGAAGGCGGCUUACUGGACGACAACUGACGUUGAGGCUCGAAGGCGUGGGUAGCAAACAGGAUUAGAUCCCCAGUAGUCCCUGUCUCUUAUACA